rnacentral:rRNA from 1 species
CCUACGGGUGUCAGCAGUGAGGACUAUUUGUCAAUGGACGAAAGUCUGAACCAGCCAAGUAGCGUGAAUGAUGACUGCCCUCUGGGUUGUACACUUCUUUUAUAUGGGAAUAAAAUGUUCCACGUGUGGGAUUUUGUAUGUCCCAUAUGAAUAAGGCUCGCCUAACUCCGGGCCAGCAUCCGCGGUCAUACGGAGGAUCCGAGCGUUAUCCGGAUUUCUUGGGUUUCAAGGGAGCGUAGGUGGAUUGUUAAGUCAGUUGUGAAAGUUUGCGGCUCAACCGUAAAAUUGCAGUUGACACUGGCAGUCGUGAGUACAGUAGAGGUGGGCGGAAUUCGUGGUGUAGCGGUGAAAUGCUUAGAUAUCACGAAGAACUCCGAUUGCGAAGGCAGCUCACUGGACUGCAACUGACACUGAGGCUCGAAAGUGUGGGUAUCAAACAGGAUUAGAUACCCCAGUAGUC